CGUAGGGUGCGAGCGUUGUCCGGAAUUAUUGGGCGUAAAGAGCUUGUAGGCGGUCCGUUGCGUCGGAAGUGAAAACUCAGGGCUUAACCCUGAGCCUGCUUUUGAUACGGGCGGACUUGAGGGAUGUAGGGGAGAACGGAAUUCCUGGUGGAGCGGUGGAAUGCGCAGAUAUCAGGAGGAACACCAGUGGCGAAGGCGGUUCUCUGGACAUUUCCUGACGCUGAGAAGCGAAAGCGUGGGGAGCAAACAGGCUU
rnacentral:rRNA from 1 species